rnacentral:rRNA from 1 species
GACGAACCGUGCAAACGUUGUUCGGAUUCACUGGGCUUAAAGGGCGCGUAGGCGGGUGGUCAAGUCAGGGGUGAAAUCUUUCAGCUCAACUGGAAAACAGCUUCUGAUACUGGCCAUCUUGAGGGAGGUAGGGGCAUGUGGAACUUCCGGGUGGAGCGGUGAAAUGCGUAGAUAUCGGAAGGAACGCCGGUGGCGAAAGCGACGUGCUGGACCUUUUCUGACGCUGAGGCGCGAAAGCCAGGGGAGCAAGCGGG